CUUUACUGUAGCUUUGUAUUGGACUUUGAACGAAUCUGUGUAGGAUAGGUGGGAGGCUUUGAAGCCGGGUCGCUAGAUCUGGUGGAGCCAACGUUGAAAUACCACCCUGGUGCGUUUGAGGUUCUAACCUAGGCCCGUUAUCCGGGUCGGGGACAGUGCAUGGUAGGCAGUUUGACUGGGGCGGUCUCCUCCCAAAGCGUAACGGAGGAGUUCGAAGGUACGCUAGUUACGGUCGGACAUCGUGACGAUAGUGCAAUGGCAUAAGCGUGCUUAACUGCGAGACUGACAAGUCGAGCAGAUGCGAAAGCAGGACAUAGUGAUCCGGUGGUUCUGUAUGGAAGGGCCAUCGCUCAACGGAUAAAAGGUA
rnacentral:rRNA from 1 species